rnacentral:rRNA from 1 species
GUAGGGAAUAUUGGUCAAUGGACGAAAGUCUGAACCAGCCAUUCCGCGUGCAGGAAGAAGAUUCUAUGGAUUGUAAACUGCUUUUAGCAGAGAAGAAACGCCUUCAUUGAUGAGGGUUUGACGGUAUCUGCGGAAUAAGCACCGGCUAACUCCGUGCCAGCAGCCGCGGUAAUACGGGGGGUGCAAGCGUUAUCCGGAAUCACUGGGUUUAAAGGGUGCGUAGGCGGGAAAUUAAGUCAGUGGUGAAAGUCUGUUGCUUAACGAUAGAAUUGCCGUUGAUACUGAUUUGCGUGAAUUGGGUUGGGGUUAGCGGAAUGUGACAUGUAGCGGUGAAAUGCAUAGAUAUGUCAUGGAACACCAAUUGCGAAGGCAGCUAGCUGGGCCUUGAUUGACGCUGAGGCACGAAAGCGUGGGUAGCGAACAGGAUUAGAAACCCCGGUAGUCC